GGUCGAGUGGCGAAAUUGGUAGACGCGCUAGAUUUAGGUUCUAGUGCCGAAAGGUUUGUGGGUUCGAUUCCCUCCUCGACCACCA
rnacentral:tRNA from 1 species